AGAGCUCCAUGGCCAGCAUCUGACUGUGGAACAGCACAGGGAGAAAUGAGCAAGACAAGUCCUGAGGGUUCCCUUGGUCCGUGGCCAAAGUUCUUCUGGAGAGUGUCGGGCUGGUCCCGCCUGCAGAGGGGCGUUUCCUGCAGGGGCUGCUCUGAACAGGCACCCGGAGAUGCUGCAGCCCGGACAGAGCCCACUGACAUCCCAAAAAUAGCCCAAGAACAGCUGGCAUUGCCUGGGAAUGUCAGCACGCUGGGUUUGCAGAGGAGCUCAGACAGCAAUUCCUGGUGCCCAGCUCCUGGAGCUCCCACACACCCACCAGGUAUGUCCCAGCCACCCCAAUCCCUUCCCUUCCAGCCUGGGGACAGCCUCCAGCAGCAGCGUUAAAGCCAAGGGAAUUUCCCUCACAGAAAUUCAAUCCCAAGCAAUGC